UUUAUCUUCUUCGUACCCCCUGUCCCUCCACCGUCUGCCGGAAAUCGUCUCCGCCGGCGGCGAUGCUCCAAACCUCACCAAAACUACACCUUAGGUUCCCCUCUUCCUCCUCUUUCCAUAUCUAACCUUAGUUUCCCUUAAAUCCUCAAAAGUUUCGAAUAUCAAAUCGGAAAAUUCGGCCAAAACACAAACUCGUCCAAUCGAUCCGAAAUCGAUACCAGAUAGUCUCUUAACCUUCCUCAACUCGAAUCCUUGAUCAAAACCCCUCUAAUCCCUCCAAGACUUCUCGAAUUUUGGAUCCAGGGUUUUUGUCAAGAGUUACUGGAAUUUCUAGGGUUAGCUCGGGCUCAUAUGGUUUUUAAAUUAUAUUAUUUGUUUGUUCUUGGUAAGAGCAAACACAUAAUAUUAUUUGAAGAUCAAUUGUGAAAUUAGCCGAGUUGGGUGCUCAAAACCAGUAAGUUGCUCAUUUUUCCUUUGUUAAAUUAUCCUCUCCAUGGCAGCUUUGCUUCAUUAAUUGAUUCUGUGUUAUCUAUUUGGAGUCAGUAAUCAAAAUCGUUUUUGAUUGUGUCAUUUUGAUUUGAAGUCAGUUGAAUGCUAACAUGAAUCUAUCUAUCUAAUUUUCGCACUCGCUUAAGUAUAGUUCUUGUUGAUUAAUCCAUAGUUAGUUUUCUAGGAUUCAGCUCAAAUUAUGUUUUUCGUCUUUAGUCAGUAAUGUUCUUCCUCAGUGGGUUGAUCCUGUUUCAUGAUUGACUGAUUCCGUUUCAUUUUAGUUUUCAUUAGAUUUGAUUCUCUGUUAGCUUGAUUCAAUUUUGUUAUUGGAUAAUCUGAUCUUUUUUUAAUUCUUGGAAUGAUUUGGGUAGUAAGUGAGUGUGGUUAGUAUAGGUUCAAUUUCGUUUAAGGUGGCUUUGUUCGGUUGAUUCUCGUUAAGUAUUGCUGAUCUUUAUCUUUGUCAGUAUUUGAUUUGUGACGUUUUAAUUCAGCCCAAUUGGGCUUAUUCUGUAAGUAUCAUUGUGUAAUAAAGUAGCUCAUUUGGUCUUUAGGCUUAGCUUAGGAUGAUUGGAUGCAGUUGAAUCUAGUUAACCCAUCCAAACUCCUCUUUUCUUUCAAUUUCUGUUAGCAUUUUAAAUCCAAUACUCAAAAAAUACAAACAAAAAAAUCAUAAAAUUAGAAAACAAAAAAAAAAUGAAAAAUAGAUACUGUUUCGUUGAGCAUUUUGCAGAUUUAAUGCUAUUCACUGUUAUUUUUCUUCGUAGUCUUAUAGUUUCUGUUAAAUUCUGAGUUUACAAAAGUGAUGUAGUCUGGUUCAAGUGAUUCCACCUCUGUUGGGUUUAAAUUUGGGUUGAUUUUGGAGUUUUGGUCUUGUUUUGGUCAUUGGACGUGUACUGGCAUUAUCCUGAGGCUACAUUUCUAUGUGUUAAGUUCAAUUGAAUCCCCUGAUUUGAGUAACUACUGUUGUUUUUGGUUUUCAAACCUCUUUUGGGUUAUAAAUUGAUUCCCUGGGCUGUGCAUGGUUGCUACUCGCAUAUCUGCUGGUUUGUUGAUAUAGUGCUGCUGCUGAGUUUCCUUUUCUGUGGCAAAUUCCAUUUCCAGGUAACAUUUUGAACUCAUUGCAAUGUAAUUGUGAGCUGAAAGAUAAAAUAAAGAAGUCUCAUGGAUUUUCCGUGAUUAUGAGUGCCUCCUGUUGACUGCUUCAUAGCUAUGUUAAUGUUGUAGUUUCAAUUGAUUUUAUAUAAAUUCUAUCGCAGUUGUAAGGUUAUAGAAUUAGGAUACUGGCAGUUUGCUUGGAAUUGGUUUAAACUGGGAUUACUAUCAAGCUAUAGGGACUGUGUUAACUAGAACAUUAAUUGUGAUCUGUUUAAUCCUGGACCUUACAGCUUUCAUUUGAAAUCCUGUGUUAAUUGUUAUAUUGUCGUUAUUUCCAGCUUACUGUGCAUUUAAAAGUAAUUGAUUUCAGGCCAGAUUGAAAGGCGUUUCGUAAAUAAAAUAAACACUGUUUGGUUCAUGUGAGUAAUAGGGUAUAAUAUUAAUACCAUGUUUAAUUGAUUGCAAGAAUUUGUAGAGUUUGUCUCAAACAGUUGAUACGUUUCUGUUUGUGAAUCACGCCCAAUUGAAUUGUCAUGCUAUUUGAGGGUUCAAUGUAAGUCAAUAAGUAAAAUAAUUGGGAUGCGAACUCAGCCCCUUAUCGUUUUGCACAUCUGGACUCGUUGAGAGUCUAUUCUAUCAAUCGUUAUUUGCUCUUUGGGAUAUCGGAUCCCCAAGAACCUUUGGGCUGUGUAACGUGAACUGAAAUCCCCAGUCCCAUAACAUGUAUUUGGAAAUUGGGUUUGGGCUAAACGUUACUCAGAAUUUGGUCAUGCCUUGUAUGUCGUUUGAUUUGAGUUGGUUGGGCUAGGGAUUAAAUGACUACUGAUUCGUUAGUUCUUUUUGAGUGACACAUUUGGUCUUCGAAUUAGGUAGCGGGUUCAAGCUAAAAGUCACUCCCUUCUGUUUGGACCCGGGCUUAAAUUUGAAGCUCGACCUUUCUAAUAAUAAUAAUCAGUUAGGAUUUUUCUUUUCUUUUAGAGGCAAAAACAAAAAAUAGAAAAUAUAGUCGCUUUUAGGCUUGCCCUUUAAAAUAAAGCGAGAUGAACCUCACCCAAUAAAAAUGCAAAAUUGCGGGGCCCUUAAUAAAGGUUUAAAAAUACUUAUAAAAUCGGGAAUAGCCGUUUAGCGAAUGCCACGGUCCUCCCAAAAGAUAACGACGCGUUAGACUUUUAGACGCGAUUCUAACAAAAUUACCUUUUUAAACUCGGGUGUGCUUUCAUGCAACCCAAAUCAAAUCCCAAAACGUUGAAUAGGGUAUGCUUAGGAUUGCGGGUGCAUUUAACGACGUCCACCUUUCUUUUAAAAAAAAACAUAUUGAAUAAAAGUUGUAAAAAGUAAAAAUUGGCACAUAGGCUCUUCAUGUAAUCAAAUUAGAUAAAAGCUAAAUGAAACAGUUAAGCGACCGUGCUAGAAUCAUGGAACCCGGGAAUGCCUAACACCUUUUUCCGGAUUAACAAAAUUCCUUAUCCGGAUUUCUGGUUCGUGGACUGUUAACAGCGUCAACUUUUUCCUUGAUUUAGGAUUCAACCAGUGACUUGGGACACCAAUAAUCUCCCAAGUGACGACUCUGAAUAAAUAAUAACCAAAUCGCGUUCUGAUUGUCCUUUAAGUGGGAAAACUCCUUUACGCCCCUCGCUGGGGUGUAUAGUAAAAAGGAGGCAUGACAACUCUGACGACUUUGCUGGGGAACAGAAACCAGAACGUUUUGUUCAGGUUCAAGAAUUCGAGCUUGGAAUAAUUGUUGUGUUUGGCUUUGUUUGAUUUUGUUACAUGAUCUAUGCUUAAUGUGCUAAUUGAAUGCUUUUACCGUGUUGAUAUUACGUGAACUGUAUAUAAACUGUGCCGAAACCCAUCUCCUCUCUGAGUCUUCUAAAUCAUGAAGAAGGGUGUACUUCGUACGACUACUUUUCUAUAUACUGUCUAAUUCUCAAUUUAGAACGAGGUUUGGAUAAUUUGGAAAACCGGCGAAGCUUCUGUAUUCCCGGGAUGAUGCCUCUCCCUCGGUUCGAGUUGUCCGCUCGGGUAAGAUAGGUCUAGAGCAAACACCCAGGUUUUGAACCUAGAAUAACUCAGCCUCAUGCCGGAUCCUUAGUAGGAACGCUUAUCUGCAUCAUGUGCAUUUUGACUUAGCGGACUCAACACAGGGGUUGGGUCCGUCUAGGGCUAGCAAUCUGAAAUGACAAGACCAUAUUGAUGUAUCCUACUUGUUUUCUGUGCAUUCAUUUGUUCGGUCUUGCAUGUUGACCGGCUUCUGAAUCUCGGGAAUGUUGGAAAAUUAAAAAAAAGAGGGAAAAAGAGAAAAAAAAAGAGAAAAAUAGUAGUUGGAGAGUUAAUUGAUUAUUUUGGAAAAAUCAAUGCCCAAAUACUGUCGAAAUUUUGCCGGAAUUUUUGAAAAAUAGAAAAAUAUUUUAUGUUUUGCUUAGAAAGCAGGAAAUGUGAAAAAGAAGUUUUUAUUUUAGUUAGUUUUCGUAAAUAAGAAAAAGAAAAAUAGUUUAUUUUGUCAUGAAAAAUAAAAAAUGAAAAGAUGUCUUUUAUUUUAGUUUGUUUUGUUUUCAAAAAAUAGAAAAAGGAAAAUAGUUGUUUUACCAUGAAAAUGAAAACAAAAAAUUGUGUUUUUAAAAGUAGUCUUUGUUAUUUGCCAAAAUGAAAAGGAAAAGAGUUAUUUUUAAAAAUGGUUUUUAUUAUGCUUAAGAAAUGCCAAAAAUAAAAGUUAACAAAGAGUCUUGUUUCAAAAAAUAGUUAGUUUAUUUGCCUGAACUACGCAGGUUUGAUUCUCGAUGUGAGAUACGUAGGCAACCCUUAUCGGGUCCAACCUCUCCUUUACAAAAAAUAGCUCAAAAAUAUCAAAAUUUUAAUUUUUGUCAUAAAUAAACCAGGUGAUGCUACUGUUGUCAAAAAUAGUCAAAUGUUUCCAAACGGGAUGCCGAAGGCUGACUUUGCAUAAACAACCACCUUUGAUCAUAUUUUGAUUUUGGACCCUCAUAGUGUUAAAAUCUUUGUCCCCGAGGCGCUGGAAGGUCGUAUUUGCAAUAGCGGGUCAUUUAUUUUAAUUUGAAAAACAAGAAAAAUAGUUAGUGGUCAAGUGAAUACCGUUCAAAUUUUAGGUCAAAUUUGGCAUAUAGAGGAAGGAAUCUGUCAUUUUGUUUUUGGGUUUGUAUUUCUUUUGAUUAUAGUAUGUGGAUCAUUUGAUUUUUGAGUCUGUAUUUCAUCAUUAAGUUAGUCAGUUUUGUUGUUAUCAUGAAAAUGAAAAUUUUCAAAAAUAUUAUAUUGUCGUUUACCUUUUAUCUGCAAGAACUACACACGGUCUAAUUCAUGCGGGAUCAUGAUACGUAGGCAAUCCCCAUAAGAUUCGAGCACAAAAAAAAAUGGAAAAAAAAAUGGAAAAAGAUGUUGUUAAUAAUGAGGACCGACUCAAUCCAUUCUAACAUGUUUUGUUUUGAAUUGAAAUUUAUAAAAAAUAGAAAAGGUGUUAUUAAUAAUGAGGACCGAUUCAGUCCAUUCUAAUAUGUUUUGUUUUGAAUUGUGAAGAAAGUUGAGGUGGUUGGUUUGUGGUACGCUGGAAACACAAGAUAUGAGGAAAGAUGAUAACUGACAUCGAAGUUGUUACAAGUGCUCAAGAGACUCGGGGUCAGAGGGUUCAACUAGAGUCUACGGUGUUUGGAGAAAAUAGAACACCGAAACAAAAAAAUGAUUGAAAUACAUCAAGCAUGAGCCAAUGGUCAAGGAGAGCCCUGUCAUGGGUCACAAUUGUCUACACAGUAAGAUCACCACUCGUACUCAUUCGAAAUUCCCGCAAACAUUGAGAAUCCUGUCCAAACGAGAGUACAUGAAGAAAUAACCCAAAGAGUGAAUAGAUUAGAACAACAGUUCAAAAACAUGCAAGCAAUGGCUAGUCAAAAGAGUGUUGCCUUCAGAGAUCUAUGCAUGUUCCCCGAUGUCCACUUGCCGCCUGGUUUCAAGGUUCCCAAAUUUGAAAAGUACAAUGGACAUGGAGACCCCAUAGCCCACCUGAAAAGUUAUUGCAACUAAUUGAGAGGUGUGGGAAAAAAUAAAGAAUUGCUUAUAACUUAUUUUAGGGAAAGCCUCUCGGUAGUAACAUCUGAAUGGUUUUUGGAUCGAGACACAUCUUGCUGGUACGUCUGGGAUGACAUGGCAUGGAGGCCUUUGUCAAACAGUUUCAGUAGAACAUCGACAUCGCCCCAGACCGCAUUUCCCUUUCUAACCUAAAAAAGAAACCAACUGAAAGUUUCAAGGAAUAUGCCAUCAAAUGAAGAGAGCAGGCAACUAUAGCUAAGCCACCCAUGGAUGACCACGAGUUAAUCAUCGUCUUUUUACAGGCUCAAGAGCCAGAUUAUUUUCAAUACAUGACGUCCGCAGUGGGUAAAUACUUCCCGGAAGCAAUCAAAAUGGGAGAGAUGGUGGAGAACGGCUUUAAAAGGGGAGAAUUAUAAGUCAAACAUCUCUCAAAGCUGCAGCUCAGGUUGUCCAAAUUGAAUCUAGUAACACGAAUGAGAGGGAUGAAGAAAUCAUGAUGAUAUCAGGGCCAAGAAGAGGUCCUAGGAGAACAUCUCGAAGGUAUGUGCAGCCUCAUCAGAUUUCCCAUGACCCCUCUAAGCAUUACUAUCCACCUCCGAACCCCCAUACUCUAUUGAUCCUUCCUAGUGUGUUUCCUACCAUCAAAUCACCCAAGGAAGCGAGCACGAGUAUUACACAAUCUCCACCCGCCUCCGCAAAAUUUUCAGGUACCUUAUAACCCACAUCCAAUCCAGGGGUAUAAAAGGGAACGAAAGCUGAAAGAUAGUUUUAUACCAAUGGGAGAGUUCUAUGCAAGCUUAUUUGAGAAAUUAAAACAACAUGACAUGAUUGCACCCAUUCCUCCAAAUUAGGUGGACCGACGUGCGAGAAGCUUUGACUCAUCUAAAAGGUAUGAAUACCACUCCAAUUCUCUGGGGCACAAUGUUGAAAAUUGUCGGGAUUUGAAAAGGUAAAUAGAAAGAAUGAUUCAAGAAGGGGUAAUUGUAGUUAAUGACGGUGACAUAGAUCAUGCGAAUCUUCUUGGGAACUUGUUGGCUGGAGUUGAUGAUAUCAAAAUUGGUAAUGAUCUUGGCAAUAUUGAUGCAGAACUCAGUGGCUAAGAUGCUGAUCUUGGUAAUAGGAAAGACGCUUCAUCUCGUGGCCAGCUGGAGAGAAGUCUUGGUGGUUUAUUUUGUUGUCAUUUCUGUUGUUCGGGUUAAUUUUAGGGUUGUAAUCCGAAUAUUGUCUUGUGAUUCAAAGCCUUCUAUCCUUUUAUUUGUCUAGUCGUCAUAUCUUAUGUAGUGUUAUCUAGGUUUGUUUUAGGAUUAUACCCCAGUUUGUGUUGCUUGUUUUGUUGUUAAACCCUUUAACCGUCUGUUUAAUACAAUUCUCUGUUUUUUGCUAUUUCUAGUCAUUUUUGUUUAGUUCUCUUUUCUUUUUACAAUUUUUUUCCUGCUGGUUCUAGUGACAUGACAUGUACACAUAAAUUAUCAAUCGGACUUUUAAAAAGCUAUGUUGGUCGGGAAGCAAUGAAACCAUUUUCAAGACGAUGAGGGAAUUUGAGGAAAUAAGAAUAGAUUUGGACGUUGUGAGAUUGUUUGACGCCCGAACCAUGUGAAACUGGGUCAAAUAGAACAUAAGUAAAAGAAAGUCGGCCAAAUUGAUAAGGGGCCGGUCGUGGUAAUAAGAGUAAGAGUGUGGCCCAAUGGCACAUUAUAUCAGACAGAUGUAGAAAGAAAAUGUUGGAAAUGGGCAUCAAUUCCGAUGCAGUCAAGAGAUACCGUGUAUGGUUUCUAUAUUUUGAUUUUACCUGUUUGUACUUGGCAUAUUUUGAGGGUUGAAAUGACGAAGACGUUUUGUUCUGCUAUCCAAACCCUUUUUUCCCAUUGUCACCCCUUUUGAGCCGAUUUUAUUUUCUUUCAUACCCCUAUUUCGGACUCAACGGCACAAUUAAAGAAACGCAAGUGCCGGAAAUACGAAAAUGGAAAAAAGAAGGAAAAAUAAAAGGAAAUGUAGGAAAAGAAGAAAAUAAAGAAGAAAGGAAAAGGAGAAAUAAAGAAAGGAAGGAAGAAAGGAAAAGAAGAAAAGAAAAGAAAAGCAAAGAAAGGAAAGAAAGAGAAGAAAGAAAAAAAAGAAUGAAAAAAGCAAGAAAAACAGAAAGAAAAGAAGAGAAAGAAAAUCACAACAACGUAGUUUCUAUGACGUGAACUACGUUUGACUUGAUCCCGAAAGGGUACGUAGGCAGCUUCUCUUUGAGGUUCAGUCAUACCAAAAUAAAAUUCCAAAAGUCCCAAGCAAGAAACUGGGGCAGAGGUUGUGAUUGUUGAAAGAAAUCAGAUUCCGAAAGUUGUAGUGUUAACCCCAUUUUGAAUUGUUUUGAGCCUUUAUAUCUUUUUUUUUUCAAACCCUAUCCAAAAGCCCACAUUACGGUCCAAAGAAAGACCUUCCGAUCAGACUUUGAGACAUGCCAAGAAAAGUAGGUAAAGGUGAUUCAUGUCAGGGGAAACAUUCCGUCUAAACAAGGAAAAUGAAAAUGAAAAUGAGAAAGUCUUAUUGAUGAAAACCCUCAUGGGUAUCGCAAGGCGAUGAUAGCCGAGAGAAAUAAAAUGAGAGAGUCUUAUUGGAAAGUCUUCACAAGCACCUUGAGGCGAUGAUAAUUUGACAGAAAGAACAAAUGAGAGAGGUUUGAUGGUGAAAACCCUCUGGGCACCACAAAUCAAAUAAGGAUAGCGAAUCAAACUGGAUAAGUGGAGCAUUGAAGCCUAGUUUCACAACGAAAGGUACAACAAGAGCUGAGCGUCAGAAUUGAUUGAUAGAAUAUCUAUAAGUGCAUGUCGUGGUCAUUAGAGUUGGUACUCACAAUUGAUAGGUGUCUACUUUGUAGUCUCCUCUUUAGGAAUCGUUUCUUUCCUUUGUCCGUCACUCCGUUCCUCUGUUUUGUUUAUUUCUCCUUUCUGAGUCUUUUUGGUCGUAACAAGUGAGAAAUGACCUCCAAAUUUACCAUAAGCUUUCCGAUUUCACAAAAUGGGGUCACAAGUUAGGAAACAACAGCAAGAGCACUGAGCUGGUAAUAAUCAACAUACUUUGGGGAUCCUGGUGAAACACAAAAGUUUGGUAGAUGUCAGUUUUGGAAUAAUGCAACAGAGAGAGGAUUGGGUUUGAAAGAAGAAUAGGUAUUUUCUAUGACAGGGGUCAAGCGAAAGAGCAAUAGACUUCAAGGUCAGGGGCAAGGGGUUUCAAUUUGGAAGAACAACAUACUGUUGGUGGCAAUCAACAUGCUUUGAGGUUCACAUAAGGCACAAGGGUUGGUAAAAGUCAGUUCAAAAACCGUGCAGUAAACAAAUGGUAUAAGGUUGGAAUGCAUAAAAGGUAUGUUCUGUGCGAAUGGUGACCAAGGAAGUGGUUAGGCAAGAAACAAUUGGAGAUGGAAAUGAAAGAUAUCGGCAAGUAAGGGAGCAACAGACCUCAGGGCCAAGGCCAUCAGAUAAGCCAGGAAACAACUGUGGGGGUCAAUGGACGUAAUAUGAGAAUUCAUGUAAGACUCAAACGUCAGGAAUAUGCCAGUUCAAGGGAAAUGUCCCCAAAAUAAGAUAUUGGAUCUUAACAGGGAAAAAAGCCAUUUUGGUGGCACAGAUAACGGAGAAACAUACUGUGGGGGGCAAUGGACAUAAUUUGGGAAUUCAUGUAAGACUCAAAGGUCAGGAAAAUGUCAGUUCAUGAGCGGUGUAACAAACAGAAUAUAUAGGGUUUGAGUGCAGAAAAAGUAUGUUUGGUGACACAGAGGAUGAAAAAGUGGUUAAUCAGUGAACAUCCAAAGCAUGGAAAGGAGAAAAGGAAAGCCAUCCCAGCGUGAGUACCACAACCAACCACUGCACUUUAAACUGACAGAAUUUUUUUUGAUUUGAAAUAGGGGCAUGGAAAUAUUAUUAAUGGCAGAAAGGUAUGCUCUAGGAGGGUUAUCAAACUGGGGCAGAAAAUUGUCUGUCCGGUAGAAAGAGGGAAGUAGUUUUGAGGAAAGAAACACCAGUUUAAGAAAAAUAAUUUUCGGAGGAAUAAAACACUAGUUUCAGGAAAGUGGUUUUUGAAGGAGGACAACACCAGUUUUUAGGGAAACGGUUCUGAAGGAAGAUAAUUCAAGUUAGAAGGUAGUUAAACAAGUUUCAGAGGAAAAUGGUUAAAAGAAAAAUCUUAGUCUGAUGAAUUAUUCACCUAAGAUAAAGAAAUCUUAGUCUGUUGAAUCUUUCACCUAAGAUAGAAAUCUUAGUCUGAUAAAUUUUUAACCUAAGAUGAAUAAAUCUUAGUCUGUUGAAUCUUUCACCUAAGAUAAAGGCCUAAUUUGGAAAAUAAGGGAAGGCAGAAUUUGAGUAAAAAGAAAGGAAGGCAUAAUUUAAAGAAGGGGAAGGCAGAAGUCGGAAAAAGAAAGGAAUGCGUAAUUUGGGAACAAGAAAGGAAGACAGAAUUUGAAAAUAAAGGAAGUUGGAAUUUGGUAAAUUAAGAAAGUCGGGAUCACACAAAAUUGGACCUAGUCUGAUGAAUUAUCUCGUAGAGUCAAAAUCUCAGUCCAAUGAAUCUUCCUCCUGAGAUCACAAAAAAUGGACCUAGUCUGAUGAAUUAUCUCCUAGAGUCAGAAUCUUAGUCUUUUGAAUCUUUCACCCAAGAUAAAAAUAUUGGUCUGAUGAAUUUUUCACCUAAGAUCAAAGAUAAAAAUCUUAGUCUGUUGAAUCUUUCACCCAAAUUAAAAAUCUUGGUCUAAUGAAUUUUUCACCUAAGAUAAAAGAUAAAAAUCUUAGUCUGUUGAAUCUUUCACCUAAGAUGGAAAUUUUAGUCUGAUGAAUUUUUCACCUAAGAUACAUAGAAAAAUCUUAGUCUAUCGAAUCUUUCACCUAAGAUAAAAAUCUUAGUCUGAUGAGUUUUCCACCUCAGAUAAAUUUUAAAUUUUAAAAUACAUUUCAGUCUUUAAAUUUUUAACGUCGCAUUUCAGUCUUAUCACAAUUCAAGUUUUAGUUCUUAUUAGUAUGUGGUAACAAACACCCCGUUUUCCAAACUGGGGCAGAAAUUUUUUCUUAUUUUGUCUAUUGUGUGAAGUCAGGAGCCUGCUUGGAUAAUAGAGGAAUACUUUCAAGUUCAAGUUCAGCCGUCAGGAACCCGCCUGAAGAAUAGAGGCGUACAAUUCAAGUUUCGGAAGUCAGGAGCCCGCCUGUAUAACAGAGGUAUUUCAAGUCAAGUUUUAGUCAAAUUUUUAUUAAUAUCCAGUAACAUGUACCUAGUUUCCAAACUGGGGCAGAAAUUUUUUUUUAUGUUGUCUAUUUUUAUGAAGUCAGGAGCCCGCCUGGAUAGCAGAUGAAUAUAUUCAAUAUCAAGUUCAGUAGUCAGAAGCCCACUUGGAUAACAGAGGAAUACAUUCAAGUUCAGCAAUUCGGAGAGAAUGAACAACAUCAAGGUCCACGAUUUGAAGUGACAACAAUGAGUUUCACCAAAGAAAACACAAGACAACAGGCAACAAGGAAGUACACGAGUAAGUUUGAAGAAUUUAGAUAAGACAUUUUUAAUUCAUAGUGCAUAGCUUAAGCUAGCUUCUUUUAUUUUUGAUUGGUGUAAUAAGGAAGGUCAGCGAGCAGCAGCAACAAUCACAGUAAAAUUACAGCUCCUGGCUGAACUACACUGACCUGAUUCCUUCUUAGCCCAGGAUAUGUAGACAACCUCUGAAGAAGGGUGCGGCCAAAACUUUUCAAAAGGCUUCACAACUGAAUAUUU
rnacentral:lncRNA from 1 species